UACGAGGGGGGCGAGCGUUGUUCGGAAUUAUUGGGCGUAAAGGGUGCGUAGGCGGUUUGGUAAGUCUUAUGUGAAAUCUACAGGCUCAACUUGUAGUCUGCAUGAGAAACUGCCGGGCUUGAGUGUGGGAGAGGUGAGUGGAAUUCCUGGUGUAGCGGUGAAGUGCGUAGAUAUCAGGAGGAACACCUGUGGCGAAAGCGGCUCACUGGACCAUAACUGACGCUGAUGCACGAAAGCUAGGGGAGCAAACAGG
rnacentral:rRNA from 1 species